UACGUAGGGUGCGAGCGUUGUCCGGAAUUAUUGGGCGUAAAGAGCUCGUAGGCGGUUUGUCGCGUCUGCUGUGAAAGACCGGGGCUCAACUCCGGUUCUGCAGUGGGUACGGGCAGACUAGAGUGAUGUAGGGGAGACUGGAAUUCCUGGUGUAGCGGUGAAAUGCGCAGAUAUCAGGAGGAACCACCGAUGGCGAAGGCAGGUCUCUGGGCAUUAACUGACGCUGAGGAGCGAAAGCAUGGGGAGCGAACAGG
rnacentral:rRNA from 1 species